GCCCGCUUAGCUCAGUGGUAGAGCGCAUCACUAGUAUUCGACCACGGGUGAUGAUGAGGUCCUCAGUUUGACUCUGGGGGUGGGCU